UACGAAGGGGGCUAGCGUUGCUCGGAAUUACUGGGCGUAAAGGGUGUGUAGGCGGUUCUUUAAGUUUGGUGUGAAAUCUCCCGGCUCAACUGGGAGGGUGCGCCGAAUACUGAGGGACUAGAGUACGGGAGAGGAAAGUGGAAUUCCUGGUGUAGCGGUGAAAUGCGUAGAUAUCAGGAGGAACACCGGUGGUGUAGACGGCUUUCUGGACCGUAACUGACGCUGAGACACGAAAGCGUGGGUAGCAAACAGG
rnacentral:rRNA from 1 species